rnacentral:rRNA from 1 species
GGACCCGCACAAGUAGUGGAGCAUGUGGUUUAAUUCGAAGAUACGCGCAGAACCUUACCAACACUUGACAUGUUCGUCGCGACUCUGAGAGAUUAGAGUUUUCGGUUCGGCCGGACGAAACACAGGUGCUGCAUGGCUGUCGUCAGCUCGUGUCGUGAGAUGUUGGGUUAAGUCCCGCAACGAGCGCAACCCUCACUUUUAGUUGCCAUCAUUUAGUUGGGCACUCUGAAAGAACUGCCAGUGAUAAGCUGGAGGAAGGUGGGGAUGACGUCAAGUCCUCAUGGCCCUUAUGUGUUGGGCUACACACGUGCUACAAUGGUACUUACAAUGGGAUGCGAAGAGGCGACUCUAAGCCAAUCCCUAAAAUGUACCUCAGUUCGGAUUGUACUCUGUAACUCGAGUGCAUGAAGCUGGAAUUGCUAGUAAUCGC